UACGGAGGGGGCGAGCGUUGUUCGGAAUUAUUGGGCGUAAAGGGCGCGUAGGCGGAUCGGCGUGUCCGGCGUGAAAUCUCCACCACUCAACGGGGAGGCGUCGCUGGAAACUACCGAUCUGGAGUUCGGUAGAGGAGCAUGGAAUUCCGGGUGUAGCGGUGGAAUGCGUAGAUAUCCGGAAGAACACCUGUGGCGAAGGCGGUGCUCUGGGCCGAAACUGACGCUGAGGCGCGAAAGCUAGGGGAGCAAACCGG
rnacentral:rRNA from 1 species